CCGGAACCGGUGCCGGGAUCCCUCAGUCGCAUGCGGUGACUACGGGGCCCCCACAUGACUCGGGCGCGCCCCCAGCCGAGGGAGGACGACGAAAACUUUACCCCCUCGCCGGCCGAGCGCAGCCUCCGCGCCCCUCCCGCCGCGUGGUCCGUCCCCCCUUCCUCCUCCCCUCGCGUCCCUCGCCCUCCCUCCUGCUCCCUCCUCCCUUCCCCCCUCCCCCUCCUCCUCGCCGGCUGGCGGCGGGCAGGUCCGGGCGGGGCCGCGCCGCUGAGCCCACAGCCCCGCACUCCGGCCCGGUGUCCGUGCGCCGCGCCCCGCGGGAGGAGCGGCCGAGCAGGCCCGGCGGACGGAGCGGCCCGCGCGGCGCGGGGGGCAUGAAGUUGGGCGCGCGCGGGCCUCGGAGCUGGGGCGCGGCGGAGCCGGGAGCUGCCCGCGUCUAGAGCCCGCUCGGCGCGCCAUGGAGCUCGGGGGCCCGGGGGCGCCGCCGCCGCCGCUGCUGCCGCCGCUGCUGCUGCUUCUGGGGGUCGGCCUCCUGCCCGUGAGCAGCGAUGUGGAGACCCAGGCCCACGCCGAGGAGCGGCUGCUGAAAAAACUCUUCUCUGGCUACAACAAGUGGUCCCGGCCUGUGGCCAACAUCUCGGAUGUGGUCUUUGUCCACUUCGGCCUGUCCAUUGCACAGCUCAUUGACGUGGACGAGAAGAAUCAGAUGAUGACAACGAAUGUGUGGGUGAAGCAAGUGAGUGGGAGGGGAGCUUGGGC
rnacentral:lncRNA from 1 species